GACGAACGCUGGCGGCGUGCCUAAUACAUGCAAGUAGAACGCUGAAGGAGGAGCUUGCUUCUCCGGAUGAGUUGCGAACGGGUGAGUAACGCGUAGGUAACCUGCCUGGUAGCGGGGGAUAACUAUUGGAAACGAUAGCUAAUACCGCAUAACAGUAGAUGUUGCAUGACAUUUGCUUAAAAGGUGCAAUUGCAUCACUACCAGAUGGACCUGCGUUGUAUUAGCUAGUUGGUGAGGUAACGGCUCACCAAGGCGACGAUACAUAGCCGACCUGAGAGGGUGAUCGGCCACACUGGGACUGAGACACGGCCCAGACUCCUACGGGAGGCAGCAGUAGGGAAUCUUCGGCAAUGGACGGAAGUCUGACCGAGCAACGCCGCGUGAGUGAAGAAGGUUUUCGGAUCGUAAAGCUCUGUUGUAAGAGAAGAACGAGUGUGAGAGUGGAAAGUUCACACUGUGACGGUAUCUCACCAGAAAGGGACGGCUAACUACGUG
rnacentral:rRNA from 1 species